rnacentral:lncRNA from 1 species
GUUGUAUUUGCUACCAUAAAGCUGAAGGUGGACAUCAUGAUACGCAGAAUUGUUUCUAAAGAAAAUAUGAAGGGGGUUUCCAGGAAGCAUUAGCCCACAAUGGUCGUCCACUGUUUUGAUGGUGGCAAAAGAGAAGAAAUAGAUGGAGGUCCGAGGAGACAUGCCAGAGAGCAUAAACGAUAAGGCUCCACCUACUGUGUCAAGGAGAAGCCCCUCUAAUGGAUGAUUGUACAAAGCUCCAAAUGCGUAGGGAACAACAAGACGGUGAUGCCGAGAGUGGAGGUGCCGAUAUAAGAACUUGUUCUCGUGGAAGUAUCGAUGCAAAAAGUAUUGCCAAGUGUCCAUAACCAACAUUGCUGUAACGAACUGGCUAGCCAGAACAAUAAACGAAGAUGGCUG